AUUAAUUAGAUCUUAAAACAAGCACUGUACAUUUUUUUCUGCAAAACAACUCUGUUCUGGUAAAACACUUAACAAAACUCCUGGGAAGCAGAGGCAGGCGGAUCUCUGUGAGUUCGAGGCCAGCCUGGUCUAACAGAGCAAGCUCCAGGACAGCCAAGGCUACACAGAGAAACCCUGUCUUGAAAAAGAAAGAGCAACAACAUAACUUAGUUAGGCACUUUAUUUUAUACAUGAGCGCUUUUGCCUGCAUGCAUGUAUAUGCACCAUUUGCGCGCCUGGUACAAUCGAGUUCAGGAGAAGGCAGCAGACCCUAGGAACUGCAGACACAAAUGGCUGUGAGUCACCAUUCAGCUGCUGGAACAGAACUCAGGUCCUCUGGAAGAACAGCCAGUACUCUUAAUCACUGAACCAUCUCUCCAGGCCCCUAAAAAGCUAUAUGAAAACUAUAUGCUAUAUGAAAUACACUCUGAAUUUAAACAUUAACUACCAACAUUAAAAUGCAAAAUAACUCAACUUUUAAGCAUUAAUUGUAUAGCAAAAAUGAGUACUAUUUAACUAAUAGUACCCUAUUGAGUUAAAUAAAACCCUAAUCUAAUCUUUAAAAGAAAACAGUGUAACCCUAAGCCGGAGAUGGUAGUGCAUGCCUUUAAUGCCAGCACUCAGGAGGCAGAGGCAGGUGGAUCUCUAAGGGUUGGAGGCCAGCCUGGGCUACAGAGCAAAUUCCAAGACAGCCAGAGCCAUACAGAGAAACCCUUGUCUCACACAACCAAAACCAAAACCAACAAAACAUAACCCUAACCCUUUGAGGGGUGGGGGAUGCACUCCUCAAAGUUGGGUUUUUGUUUGUUUUUUGAGACAGGGUUUCACUGUGUAGCCCUGGCUGUCCUGGAACUCACUCUGUAGCUCAGGCUGGCCUUGAACUCAAGAGAUUUGUUUGCCUCUGCCUCCAAAGUGCUGGGAUUAAGUGUGUGUUACCACCACCUGCAACAGAAAGUUUUAAUAUACUUAUGGAGAUGGCAUUCUAUAUUUCUGCUCUAGAGAGUGGAUUCCCAGUCAAUUUUUAUUUAUUGGUACUAAAGCUUGAACCCAGGGCCUCACCUACAUAGGCAGGUAUUCUACCACUGAGCUACAUCUCCUGCCCCUACAGUUGAUUUUUCAUUUUCUGUCUCUACUAAAGACCUCAGAAACACCAGAGACAUUGCCAGUGGGGGAAAUGGGAUGUGUUGGGGCUGAGGUCCUGACUCUCAGAGCUGGACCAAGCUUAUGGAGCUGAUACCUGGGCAGGUCAGCCAUGAUGUAUCUGGCUGGGUCCUGAAUGGCAGGAGGUUCCAGUGGGUGCUGGGCCACAGACUCUACACUUGAAACAGCAUGAGCUCAACAGGCUCACAAAGCCUGAAGCCCUAGGAUCCAGCAUGGCACCACUGUCUCUCUCAGUUAUGGCCGGCAAGAUGGGAGGCCUGGUCUACUCACUGGGGUGCUCACAAUGGAAUCUCAGCGAGCAGAGCUUUCUGUAUCCAGGGCUCAAUCUCCCUAAUGCUGAAGUCCUUUAAUAUAUCAUGGUGACCCUCAAUCAUAAAUUAUUUCAUCUAUACUUAACCACUGUAAUUUUGCUACUAUUAGGAAUCAUAAUGUAAAUAUCUGUGUUUUCCCAUGGUCUUAGGUGACCCCCUAAGGGGUCACAACCCACAGGGUGAGAAGAGAAGGCAUUAUGGCAAGGCAUGUUUUCCUGAUGCUAUCAGCACAGAACUCUUUUGAAAUCUGCAGAAGGGUUUCUUGGUUUAUUUUUGCUUUGCUUUGUUGAGACAGGGUCUCACUAUGCCUCCUAGCUGGCCCUGGAACUCUUUAUGUACAGCAGGAUGGCUUUGGGCUGAGAUCCACCUGCUUCUUCCUACUGAAUGAAUUGGAUCAUUGAAGGUAUGUACCACCAUGCCUGGUCCAGAAGGGCAUCUUUAAAAAGCAUCUUUCUGCUUUAAUCCCAGCACUCAGGAGACAGAGGCAGAGAGACAAGAGCUCUGUGAGUUCGGGGCCAACCUGGUCUACAGAGCUAGUUCCAGGAUAGACAAAGCUGUUAAACAGAGAAACCCUGUCUCAAAAACAGAAACAAAACAACAAUAAAAUCCCCAUCAUUCCACCUUUUCAAACACAUGCCCAUGGUGGUCUUCAUCCACAAAAACAGAGGCCAGGCUGCCUGCAGGAGCUGGGGCUGUCUGCCCUAUGCUGGCUAGCCAAGGUGACAAGGUCCUACAAGGACCACACUCCAUCUGCCACCUAGCAUUCUCUCCUGAUUUAUGACAAUAGGGUUCUCCAAGUGCAGAUCUGUCCCUGCCACUUUUCAUGGCCUCACACAAGGUUUUGGGAGCCACAUCCUGAGCCCCAGUGAGUACUUAGGAACCAGGAAAUGCCAUUGUUUAAAACUAUUCAUCACCACAAACAGCCUGAACUAGGGGGAACACUCCUUUGAGGUAAAUCCAAAGGGUCAGAUAACCUUUCCCUUCCCAGAGGUUACAGCUCUGGGGAUCAGGCCUCAGCCACAAUGACUGUCUUCAUCAAGGUGACUGUUUGGCGGCUCUGGGAAUUGUCCGGGUCCUAAGCCUUUUCUCCCUUCUCUGGUGGGAAGGUCACCCCAAGAUCCAAUUGUCACAGCAACUCAACCACUGGCGUCUGUUGGCCCUCAGUCGGUGAGAGAAAUUGGUAAGUGCAACUUCUGGGCCCACAGCUUUCUCGAAGCCCAUGCUUCAGAACCCCCACAUCCCGUCUCCUGGAAAAGGGGCAGUGCCUUAGGCAAGCAAUGACAAGCUAUUGCCACCCAGGGGGCAGUUCAGGGUGUGAGGGAUGUUGACAGAUCACCAGGUGGGGAGGACAGUGGACUUCUCCUGGGGCUGUGACCCAUAUUUCCCUGUUCAAAAAUGGGCCCUGUGAACUCUAAAAGCCUCUUGGGUCUAAAUAAACCUGUAUUCAAGUCUCGGUUUUCCAAACAGAGGAUCCCACAGCAGCCUUUCUGAAUAUUGGUGCUAUGGUAAUUGCUUCAGUUUGCAUGGAGUUCUGUCAGUGUCAAGGCACUGGAGACUCUCGUUAAUGAAGGGCCUGCGGUGUGCAGGAGCUGGAAUUGAGUAGGCCAGCUCCUAAGAGGACUAGAACUCAACAGCUCCAGCUUCCAGUCCUUUGGGUAAGGGUUCAGUGAGGAUUGCGAAACCCGUCUCAGGUCUUCUGGUUACUCAGUGGGGUCAGAAGACUGGACAGCACUGCCACCUGGUGUCCGGCUGGGGUAGCGUUAGGUUCCCCAGCCGGGGAGAGGUAGCACUGGGCACACACACAGCGGCAGGCUCCCGUCCAGACACUCAUCAAGUUCAGACUAACUUCACGUCCUCAUCAGGACGUCCUCAUCCAGGAUACAGGUGCUUAGGCGCACACAGGGCAGUGAGGCCCUCCAGGGCACAGGGCUGGCACGAGAUGGCUCUGUUGGGAGGGCUCUGAUGCACACACCUCAGCCAGCUGUCUGGGGGCGGGGUCUUUUGGUUAUUCCUGCCUGAGGGUGACACACUCCCUUACUGAUUUCUGUCCUCUCUCUUGUUGGAUAUGUGUGGGCAGCUAUUGAUCGAGUUCAGCCAUUUGCCAAGGUAUAUACACAUUUUAUUUAAAAAAGUUUACAGUUUUCAUUAUACACAACUAUUAAGAGGUUAUAGGAGGCAUUUGUCCAGGUGACAGACAUGCCCACUAGAUCAUCACAAUGCAAGGAAGGUGGAAGGAAGGAGCCAGGGCAGGGGGGGAGAGCGGUAAAAAGCUUCGAUUUCAAUUAAGGGCUGCUGAGUCCCUUUAUCUCUUCAAGUAUCACACAAUGUGUACCAAAUACAAUCAGUAAUUCAAGGCCAUUUCUUCCCACGCCCACAGCCAAGUAACUGCUACCCCAAGAGCCAUGGCCAUCCUCGGGUGAGUGGAAAGCUGCACCCCACGACCCCAAAGGGCCUUCACUCCAUCCAGUCCCUAAAGAGCUGGCCAAGGGGUUCGGUGGCCAAAGGAAGAUGAACAUGGAUUCACAAGUCCAAAGAAAUGCAGUCCUUUGUGCCCAAUCAGAAACAAGUCGGUUUUUCACUCAGCAAGGCUAUGACCCAAUCAGAAGUGAAGAAAACAAAGUAAAACCCUUUGCUAACUUGUAAAUUGCUUCACUUUCCUGAGUCACUAAAACAGAGGGGCCACAUAUCAUUAAAAUCCAAUACCAGUUUUCAGAAACCUGACCUAGAGAGACUAGACUGGCAGAGGAUCUGUCAUGAUUCUUAGCCACCCCAAAAGGUGGCCUAGAAAAUGCAAGUAUCAGGUCAAGGCCAACUAGAACUUCGGGGAGCCCUUUCCAGGACACAUUUCCUCUGAGAAGACGCACUCCUCAGGAGCCUAGAUCAGCCGUUGGCAAUUAGAACAGCGCUUGAAGUGGACAGAAACAUUAGUGCUGGAGAGAUGUGGCAACUUCUGAGAACUCUCUCGUUAGUAGGAAAUGCUGGUUGAAGCUGCACAGUACUCUCGAGGAAGGUGGAGACUGCUGACAAGAAAUGUCAAGUGCCAGGGUCUAUGUUGGCAACCACAGAACACAGCCCACUGGCCCAGUGCUGGGCUCUGGGGGCAGAGGGACGCGGCAGGUGUGGGCUGCCAGGCAGCAGCCACUUUGCUUGUCGGUGUUUGGCAAGAACUCCAGUCAUCUGAAUGGCUUGCACUGGUAAACCACACGGUAGGCCCUCAAAAUGGUUAGUACAAGGGGUGGGCAAAUGCCAGCAACAGCCCGGACCUACUGCUCCCCCUCCAAGGCAAGGAGUCCUCAGCCUCCAAAGGAGCUCAGCACCCCCUUGGGAGUCAGGAGGGACGCCCACAGCCAACUAGAGAGGGUUUCGGUGCCCAAACAGCAGAGCUCACCUAUUUACUAUGGAGACCUGGAGCCCUCAGAGUCACAGCCAGGCUUUAUUUCUGGUCCUUUGCACCUAUGGAUAUGGUAUGGUCAUCUAGUCCUACCUCACCAAGGAGUAAGGAAGGGCCAGAAAGAUUGCGAAGUCAACUUCCUAGCAGAGUCAAGGCCCAGAGAGCAGCAACGUGCACAGAACCAGACCUGGCUCCAGGAAGUUGAGGGUAGAGUGAUUUGGGGGGCAGUCAUGACCUGUCAGUACUGCAGUGAUUCACUAUUCACCCGGAUGGACCUUCUGCCCUGCGGCCUCAAGCCCUAGGCUCCACAUGGGCAUUCUGCACGGUCAGCUGUGUACUGCUGUUGCUCUGCAUGGGAGGGAGUGAUGUGUCUUCAAUGCAGCAAGGUGGAUUCUGGGGAGGGUCGGAGCAGCAGCUGCUUACACCCAUUCCCUAAACUUGACUCUGUGAUGCUUUGUUUGAUUUUUGUUUUGUUUUGUAUUUCUUUCAACAAGAUUGAACACAAUUAUCAGGAUCUUUUUUUUGAAAGGUAAUUAGAAUACUAUUUUUAUACAGUAUUGAAAAAAUACAAUUUUUUAUUGUUUGAACUCAAUCACCACCCAGCACUUCAAGCCUACCCUAAGUAGCACCUACAGAAAAGGUCAGAGCAUGAGCAAACUGCUAGUCCUCAGGGGAAGCAAUGUGGAGGCACCAGCAGACCCUCCUUCCCCCCGACAGAAGACAGCAUGCCAGGUAAGCACGGCCGCAUUACACGACACAGCGAUUCACAACUGCUGAAGCCACCUUCCAACAGGCAGGGUGCCCAAGGGGGCAGCGCAGUGAACUGACCACAGCCCCCCCACAGAACUGCAGUUUCCCCAAAGAAAACCUUUUGCUUCAUGCCCGUAAUUAACAUAAAAUAAGUAAAUUAUUUGUCUUUUUAUUUAGGAAAAUAAUCAUGCUAAAAGUUGUACUUUAUAUAGAUUUUCAAAGGAAAAACUGAUUGUGCUUUCUGAAUUAAAAAAGAGAGGUGUCUCCCAACCUCACC